rnacentral:rRNA from 1 species
UACGUAGGGUGCGAGCGUUGUCCGGAAUUAUUGGGCGUAAAGAGCUUGUAGGCGGUUUGUCGCGUCUGCCGUGAAAGCCCAGGGCUUAACCCUGGGUCUGCGGUGGGUACGGGCAGACUAGAGUGUGGUAGGGGAGACUGGAAUUCCUGGUGUAGCGGUGGAAUGCGCAGAUAUCAGGAGGAACACCGAUGGCGAAGGCAGGUCUCUGGGCCACUACUGACGCUGAGAAGCGAAAGCAUGGGGAGCGAACAGG